UGCCUAACCCUCGCAGUUGAUCUGCGAGAUAUGGCGUAAAAAACUGUUCAGGCUAUUAAGCUCGUCGUCAGAGCACCUGAACAGUCAUAUCCCGAAAGGGAUAUGGGUAGUCCGCAAGGAUUAUC
rnacentral:sRNA from 1 species